GACGUAGGGGGCCAGCGUUGUUCGGAAUUACUGGGUGUAAAGGGUUCGUAGGCGGGUCUUUAAGUCAGGGGUGAAAUCCUGGAGCUCAACUCCAGAACUGCCUUUGAUACUGAAGAUCUUGAGUUCGGGAGAGGUGAGUGGAACUGCGAGUGUAGAGGUGAAAUUCGUAGAUAUUCGCAAGAACACCAGUGGCGAAGGCGGCUCACUGGCCCGGUACUGACGCUGAGGCGCGAAAGCCAGGGGAGCAAACGGG
rnacentral:rRNA from 1 species